CUGGAAUGGUUCCUAAGUUGAACCAGAGGCUAGAGCACGAAGGUUUUGGAGCAGAGGGACUUUAGAGCUAUGAGUUAAGUCGGGGGAACGUUCGCAAAGUGUUUUCGAAAGGCUAGCUAAGGAGAAAACCAAGUUGGUGAUAUGCCGGUGGAGCAAGCAUUAGAUGGAGGAUCGACGAAAGCUUAGUUAUAAGAAUGAGCCUUAUCAUUUGUCUAUGUUUUAAGUGUGAAUUGUAUUUGGUUUGAAAUUUGAGUGUGAGUUUGUAUAAUAAUGAGGAAAACUGUUAUUCCUCCUCC